rnacentral:rRNA from 1 species
GAUGAACGCUGGCGGCGUGCUUAACACAUGCCAGUCGAACGGAAAGGCCCAAGCUUGCUUGGGUACUCGAGUGGCGAACGGGUGAGUAACACGUGGGUGAUCUGCCCUGCACUUCGGGAUAAGCCUGGGAAACUGGGUCUAAUACCGGAUAGGACCACUUCUUGGAUGUUGUGGUGGAAAGUUUUUUCGGUGUGGGAUGAGCUCGCGGCCUAUCAGCUUGUUGGUGGGGUAAUGGCCUACCAAGGCGUCGACGGGUAGCCGGCCUGAGAGGGUGUACGGCCACCUUGGGACUGAGAUACGGCCCAGGCUCCUAAGGGAGGCCGCAGUGGGGAAUAUUGCACCAUGGGCGCAAGCCUGAUGCAGCGACGCCGCGGGGGGGAUGACGGCCUUCGGGUUGUAAACUCCUUUCGCUAGGGACGAAGCGUUUUGUGACGGUACCUGGAGAAGAAGCACCGGCUAACUACGUG